GCUCAGAUUGAACGCUGGCGGCAGGCCUAACACAUGCAAGUCGAGCGGCAGCGGGAGGAAGCUUGCUUCCUCGCCGGCGAGCGGCGGACGGGUGAGUAAUGUCUGGGGAUCUGCCCGAUGGAGGGGGAUAACCACUGGAAACGGUGGCUAAUACCGCAUAACGUCGCAAGACCAAAGUGGGGGACCUUCGGGCCUCACACCAUCGGAUGAACCCAGAUGGGAUUAGCUAGUAGGUGGGGUAAUGGCUCACCUAGGCGACGAUCCCUAGCUGGUCUGAGAGGAUGACCAGCCACACUGGAACUGAGACACGGUCCAGACUCCUACGGGAGGCAGCAGUGGGGAAUAUUGCACAAUGGGCGCAAGCCUGAUGCAGCCAUGCCGCGUGUGUGACGAAGGCCUUCGGGUUGUAAAGCCCUUUCAGCGGGGAGGACGGUGGUGAGCUUAAUACGUUCAUCAAUUGACGUUACUCGCAGAAGAAGCACCGGCUAACUCCGUGCCAGCAGCCGCGGUAAUACGGAGGGUGCAAGCGUUAAUCGGAAUUACUGGGCGUAAAGCGCACGCAGGCGGUUUGUUAAGUCAGAUGUGAAAUCCCCGAGCUUAACUUGGGAACUGCAUUUGAAACUGGCAAGCUAGAGUCUCGUAGAGGGGGGUAGAAUUCCAGGUGUAGCGGUGAAAUGCGUAGAGAUCUGGAGGAAUACCGGUGGCGAAGGCGGCCCCCUGGACGAAGACUGACGCUCAGGUGCGAAAGCGUGGGGAGCAAACAGGAUUAGAUACCCUGGUAGUCCACGCCGUAAACGAUGUCGAUUUGGAGGUUGUGCCCUUGAGGCGUGGCUUCCGGAGCUAACGCGUUAAAUCGACCGCCUGGGGAGUACGGCCGCAAGGUUAAAACUCAAAUGAAUUGACGGGGGCCCGCACAAGCGGUGGAGCAUGUGGUUUAAUUCGAUGCAACGCGAAGAACCUUACCUACUCUUGACAUCCAGAGAACUUAGCAGAGAUGCUUUGGUGCCUUCGGGAACUCUGAGACAGGUGCUGCAUGGCUGUCGUCAGCUCGUGUUGUGAAAUGUUGGGUUAAGUCCCGCAACGAGCGCAACCCUUAUCCUUUGUUGCCAGCGGUUAGGCCGGGAACUCAAAGGAGACUGCCAGUGAUAAACUGGAGGAAGGUGGGGAUGACGUCAAGUCAUCAUGGCCCUUACGAGUAGGGCUACACACGUGCUACAAUGGCGUAUACAAAGAGAAGCGAACCUGCGAAGGCAAGCGGACCUCAUAAAGUACGUCGUAGUCCGGAUUGGAGUCUGCAACUCGACUCCAUGAAGUCGGAAUCGCUAGUAAUCGUAGAUCAGAAUGCUACGGUGAAUACGUUCCCGGGCCUUGUACACACCGCCCGUCACACCAUGGGAGUGGGUUGCAAAAGAAGUAGGUAGCUUAACCUUCGGGAGGGCGCUUACCACUUUGUGAUUCAUGACUGGGGUGAAGUCGUAACAAGGUAACCGUAGGGGAACCUG
rnacentral:rRNA from 1 species